rnacentral:rRNA from 1 species
AACGAACGCUGGCGGCAUGCCUAACACAUGCAAGUCGACCGAACCUUCCGGUCCUGGUGCCGCCGGGGUGCGUAACGCGUGGGAACCUGCCCUUAGUUUGGGAUUAACUCCCGGAAGGGGGUCCUAAUCCCGGUUAAUUUCUCCGACCAAAGGUUUAUCGCCUUUGGAUGGGCCCGCGUUGGAUUAGCUAGUUGGUAGGGUAAAAGCCUACCAAGGCGACGAUCCAUAGCUGGUCUGAGAGGAUGAUCAGCCACACUGGGACUGAGACACGGCCCAGACUCCUACGGGAGGCAGCAGUGGGGAAUAUUGGACAAUGGGCGAAAGCCUGAUCCAGCAAUGCCGCGUGAGUGAUGAAGGCCUUAGGGUUGUAAAGCUCUUUUACCCGGGAUGAUAAUGACAGUACCGGGAGAAUAAGCUCCGGCUAACUCCGUG